rnacentral:rRNA from 1 species
AACGAACGCUGGCGGCGUGGAUAAGACAUGCAAGUCGAGCGGGAACUUUCGCUGUAGCAAUACAGUGAAAGUUCUAGCGGCGAACGGGUGCGUAACACGUGGACAAUCUGCCUUAAAGUGGGGGAUAGCUCGGCGAAAGCCGAAUUAAUACCGCAUGUGAUGAGAGACGACAUCGUCUUGAAUUCAAAGCCGGGGCAACCUGGCGCUUUUUGAGGAGUCCGCGGCCAUCAGCUAGUUGGUGAGGUAACGACUCACCAAGGCUAUGACGGGUAGCUGGUCUGAGAGGACGACCAGUCACACUGGAACUGAGACACGGUCCAGACACCUAC